rnacentral:rRNA from 1 species
GCCUCAGUAACGGCGAGUGAAGCGGCAAAAGCUCAAAUUUGAAAUCUGNNUCCUUCGGAUUCCGAGUUGUAAUUUGAAGAGGUAGCUUCNGUUGUAGCUCCGGUCUAAGUUCCUUGGAACAGGACGUCGUANAGGGUGAGAAUCCCGUACACGGCUGGCGGCUUACUUCCAUGUGUAGCUCCUUCGAAGAGUCGAGUUGUUUGGGAAUGCAGCUCUAAAUGGGUGGUAAAUUUCAUCUAAAGCUAAAUAUUGGCGAGAGACCGAUAGCGCACAAGUAGAGUGAUCGAAAGAUGAAAAGCACUUUGAAAAGAGAGUUAAACAGUACGUGAAAUUGUUGAAAGGGAAGCGCUUGCAAUCAGACUUGCUUGCGGUUGAUCAAUGUUCCUUUUGGUUCAUGCACUCUGCCGUUUGCAGGCCAGCAUCGGUUGGAGCGGUGGGACAAAGACUUCAGGAAUGUGGCUCUCUUUGGGGAGUGUUAUAGCCUGUUGUGUAAUGCCNCCUGUUCCGAUCGAGGUCCGCGCUUUUGCUAGGAUGCUGGC